UUAAGCGACUAAGCGUACACGGUGGAUGCCCUGGCAGUCAGAGGCGAUGAAGGACGUGCUAAUCUGCGAUAAGCGUCGGUAAGGUGAUAUGAACCGUUAUAACCGGCGAUUUCCGAAUGGGGAAACCCAGUGUGUUUCGACACACUAUCAUUAACUGAAUCCAUAGGUUAAUGAGGCGAACCGGGGGAACUGAAACAUCUAAGUACCCCGAGGAAAAGAAAUCAACCGAGAUUCCCCCAGUAGCGGCGAGCGAACGGGGAGGAGCCCAGAGCCUGAAUCAGUGUGUGUGUUAGUGGAAGCGUCUGGAAAGGCGCGCGAUACAGGGUGACAGCCCCGUACACAAAAAUGCACAUAUUGUGAGCUCGAUGAGUAGGGCGGGACACGUGGUAUCCUGUCUGAAUAUGGGGGGACCAUCCUCCAAGGCUAAAUACUCCUGACUGACCGAUAGUGAACCAGUACCGUGAGGGAAAGGCGAAAAGAACCCCGGCGAGGGGAGUGAAAAAGAACCUGAAACCGUGUACGUACAAGCAGUGGGAGCCUCUUAAUGGGGUGACUGCGUACCUUUUGUAUAAUGGGUCAGCGACUUAUAUUCUGUAGCAAGGUUAACCGAAUAGGGGAGCCGAAGGGAAACCGAGUCUUAACUGGGCGUUAAGUUGCAGGGUAUAGACCCGAAACCCGGUGAUCUAGCCAUGGGCAGGUUGAAGGUUGGGUAACACUAACUGGAGGACCGAACCGACUAAUGUUGAAAAAUUAGCGGAUGACUUGUGGCUGGGGGUGAAAGGCCAAUCAAACCGGGAGAUAGCUGGUUCUCCCCGAAAGCUAUUUAGGUAGCGCCUCGUGAAUUCAUCUCCGGGGGUAGAGCACUGUUUCGGCAAGGGGGUCAUCCCGACUUACCAACCCGAUGCAAACUGCGAAUACCGGAGAAUGUUAUCACGGGAGACACACGGCGGGUGCUAACGUCCGUCGUGAAGAGGGAAACAACCCAGACCGCCAGCUAAGGUCCCAAAGUCAUGGUUAAGUGGGAAACGAUGUGGGAAGGCCCAGACAGCCAGGAUGUUGGCUUAGAAGCAGCCAUCAUUUAAAGAAAGCGUAAUAGCUCACUGGUCGAGUCGGCCUGCGCGGAAGAUGUAACGGGGCUAAACCAUGCACCGAAGCUGCGGCAGCGACACUAUGUGUUGUUGGGUAGGGGAGCGUUCUGUAAGCCUGUGAAGGUGGCCUGUGAGGGUUGCUGGAGGUAUCAGAAGUGCGAAUGCUGACAUAAGUAACGAUAAAGCGGGUGAAAAGCCCGCUCGCCGGAAGACCAAGGGUUCCUGUCCAACGUUAAUCGGGGCAGGGUGAGUCGACCCCUAAGGCGAGGCCGAAAGGCGUAGUCGAUGGGAAACAGGUUAAUAUUCCUGUACUUGGUGUUACUGCGAAGGGGGGACGGAGAAGGCUAUGUUGGCCGGGCGACGGUUGUCCCGGUUUAAGCGUGUAGGCUGGUUUUCCAGGCAAAUCCGGAAAAUCAAGGCUGAGGCGUGAUGACGAGGCACUACGGUGCUGAAGUGACAAAUGCCCUGCUUCCAGGAAAAGCCUCUAAGCAUCAGGUAACAUCAAAUCGUACCCCAAACCGACACAGGUGGUCAGGUAGAGAAUACCAAGGCGCUUGAGAGAACUCGGGUGAAGGAACUAGGCAAAAUGGUGCCGUAACUUCGGGAGAAGGCACGCUGAUAUGUAGGUGAAGCGACUUGCUCGUGGAGCUGAAAUCAGUCGAAGAUACCAGCUGGCUGCAACUGUUUAUUAAAAACACAGCACUGUGCAAACACGAAAGUGGACGUAUACGGUGUGACGCCUGCCCGGUGCCGGAAGGUUAAUUGAUGGGGUUAGCGGUAACGCGAAGCUCUUGAUCGAAGCCCCGGUAAACGGCGGCCGUAACUAUAACGGUCCUAAGGUAGCGAAAUUCCUUGUCGGGUAAGUUCCGACCUGCACGAAUGGCGUAAUGAUGGCCAGGCUGUCUCCACCCGAGACUCAGUGAAAUUGAACUCGCUGUGAAGAUGCAGUGUACCCGCGGCAAGACGGAAAGACCCCGUGAACCUUUACUAUAGCUUGACACUGAACAUUGAGCCUUGAUGUGUAGGAUAGGUGGGAGGCUUUGAAGUGUGGACGCCAGUCUGCAUGGAGCCGACCUUGAAAUACCACCCUUUAAUGUUUGAUGUUCUAACGUUGGCCCGUAAUCCGGGUUGCGGACAGUGUCUGGUGGGUAGUUUGACUGGGGCGGUCUCCUCCUAAAGAGUAACGGAGGAGCACGAAGGUUGGCUAAUCCUGGUCGGACAUCAGGAGGUUAGUGCAAUGGCAUAAGCCAGCUUGACUGCGAGCGUGACGGCGCGAGCAGGUGCGAAAGCAGGUCAUAGUGAUCCGGUGGUUCUGAAUGGAAGGGCCAUCGCUCAACGGAUAAAAGGUACUCCGGGGAUAACAGGCUGAUACCGCCCAAGAGUUCAUAUCGACGGCGGUGUUUGGCACCUCGAUGUCGGCUCAUCACAUCCUGGGGCUGAAGUAGGUCCCAAGGGUAUGGCUGUUCGCCAUUUAAAGUGGUACGCGAGCUGGGUUUAGAACGUCGUGAGACAGUUCGGUCCCUAUCUGCCGUGGGCGCUGGAGAACUGAGGGGGGCUGCUCCUAGUACGAGAGGACCGGAGUGGACGCAUCACUGGUGUUCGGGUUGUCAUGCCAAUGGCACUGCCCGGUAGCUAAAUGCGGAAGAGAUAAGUGCUGAAAGCAUCUAAGCACGAAACUUGCCCCGAGAUGAGUUCUCCCUGACUCCUUGAGAGUCCUGAAGGAACGUUGAAGACGACGACGUUGAUAGGCCGGGUGUGUAAGCGCAGCGAUGCGUUGAGCUAACCGGUACUAAUGAACCGUGAGGCUUAACCUU
rnacentral:rRNA from 3 species